UACGGAGGGUGCGAGCGUUGUCCGGAAUCAUUGGGCGUAAAGGGUGCGUAGGCGGCGCGGUAAGUCGGGUGUGAAAUCUCGGGGCUUAACUCCGAAACUGCAUUCGAUACUGCCGUGCUUGAGGACUGGAGAGGAGACUGGAAUUUACGGUGUAGCGGUGAAAUGCGUAGAUAUCGUAAGGAAGACCAGUGGCGAAGGCGGGUCUCUGGACAGUUCCUGACGCUGAGGCACGAAGGUCAGGGGAGCAAACGGG
rnacentral:rRNA from 2 species